CAGGAUGGGUAAGACUCUGAAUGGCUUCAAUAUCACCAAUGCCUUCACGGACCUCUAGGGAAACUCAGCAUUCACUGUAAGAGGACAGCUAAAGCCACCUAAAAUUUAGGCAUGAGCAGGGCAUCCACACGGGAUGGAAUACAUCCACUCCAUAAUCUCCAGGCCACCCUUCACUUUCAGCAGAGAUCUCAGAAAGUAUAUCCAGAUGGUGAACUUGCUGGCUAGGAAGCCGUUGCUACAAUAUACUUUUGUCAGCCUUCCGGAGCCUGGAGCCCUGGAGCUCAUCUGCAUUAUGGUAAUUUGGAACAAGAAACCAACAGUAACAGUUGGCAUAUAUUCAAAGAUUUUCUAUUUGUAACUUGGGUCUUCUCUAAGUGAUGAAUUAUUACCAUGAACACUGGUUUGUUUGAGUGUGAAAGGGAAUAUGGAUUCCUGAGUGCUUUGCCAGCAGAGUUCACAUCAGUUCUACUUUCAGCAAUGCAUGUUAAUGCAGCAACAAGGGAAACAGCAUACGUACUGUGAGGAAACAGAAUGUCUGCGAUUUAGCCAAACUGGAUAUUAAUGGAUUACCCUACCAUAAGCAUUUGUAGCUGCUUUUAUGCUAAUUUUCACUUAGCAUACUUCUGUGUGGAAAGGAAGGAUGGAGCCUGUACAGAUGGUAGAACUGCAUCAGUCCAGCCUAUCAGAGUAGAAAAUCUGGCCAUUAAUGCUUUAUCAGUUCUUACCAACUUCAUUCUCACUUGACUGAAUCAUAGAAAUUUUACAAAUGAGUAUAGCUUAAGCACAGUUGAAUGUCCUAGAUACAGUACAGAUAGUAUUUUUGGAUAAGGGUAUGUAAAAGGUAUUGGAAUUUUGGUGAAUCACUCAACCAAAUUAAGAUUUGAUUUUGAUUUUUUUCAUGUAACCUGUCAAAUGCAUGCAGGUACCAUUGAGGGAGGCUGGCAUUUGCUGAACUGCUAAAUCUUCUCUAGUUUUGACUGCUUCUUAUGGGCAGAUAUGUGUGAACCUUUGUUUUUCUUAGCCUUUUUGGAACUAACAAAGAACAUGCUACCCAUCUUGCUAUGGGAUUGCUGUUAGCACGCUUUGUUUCAAAUGCUAAGCACCGUGUAUGUCUCCUGAAACAGAUGUGUGUCAGUGGGUCUAUGCAGAAAACACACAGUGGAAAUAAUCAGUCCACAGAUCCUUAGCCACAGAAUUGGGAGGUCUUUGCUAGUUUCUGCCUCAUCUCAUGAAACUUCUUACCCAACCUUUUUAGGUACAAGCAGAAGAUGUGUCCAGAUUUCUCUAAUUUCAAAAUAAGUUUCAAAUGAUUUUUUGUAGGAUUUCCCCUAUUGAAUAGUGGGUGGCCAGAAAAGGAAUUUUCUCCUCUUAGUUGGAAUUUUGGUGAAUCACUCAACCAGAUUAAGUUUCCCUUUCUGGGUAACAGGGAUAAAUUAUAUUUAUUGUGAUGGAAUAGUAUAAUUUCAGCCAUUAUGAGUUUUUAAAUGCUUUGACUUCCUUGUGGGGGAAGGAUGACAGCAAUGCAAAUGCUAUCCAUGAGAAAGACAAUGUUGGCAGCUGCAGUAAAGCCACUGCAGAUGACAGGCUCAAGAGCCACUCCAAAGAAGUCAGGGUGCAAUGGGAAAAAAAUAGCUAAUUGGGCCUCUGAAGAUGUGCACUUGGAUAACACAAUACAUUGACCAUUAGAGUUGUUUCUCACAGAGUAAUUUGCUAAUAUUUCCUGGCAGGAUCUGUGGACCCAUGGAGAGAGGAGCCCACACUGGAGGAGGUUUGCUGGCAGGACCUGUGACCCUGUGUGGGACCCAUGCGGGAGCAGCCUGCUCCUGAAGGACUGCACCCUGUGGAUGGGGACCCAUGCUGGAGCAGUUCAUGAGAAGCAAAGGCUGUGGGAAGGGCUCAUGAGAAGUUCAUGAAGGAUUGUCUCCUGUGGGAGGGGCCACACACCAGAGCAGCGAGGUGUCCCCUCCCUGAGGAGGGAGUGUCAGAGACAAGGUGCAAUUUGAUUUCCUGACUGCAGCCCCCAUUCCUUGGUCCGCUGCACUGCUGGUGAGGAGGAGGUAGAGAAUUUGGGAGUGAAGUUGAGCCAGGAUGAAGAGAUGGGUGAGGAGAAGGUGCUUUUAAGCACUUCACCUGGAAUUCUCAUGGAUACAGCUCUCAGAGGUAGUCAAACUCUCUCUGUGAUGUUAGAAAAUGUGUCUGAGCAUCCAACAGUGACCCUGACUUUUGCCACCAAUAAAGAAGAUAUUUCUGCA